rnacentral:rRNA from 1 species
AAUGCUUACCAAGGCUACGAUCUUUAGCUGGUCUGAGAGGAUGAUCAGCCACACUGGAACUGAGACACGGUCCAGACUCCUACGGGAGGCAGCAGUGGGGAAUAUUGGACAAUGGGCGAAAGCCUGAUCCAGCGACGCCGCGUGAGUGAAGAAGGCCUUCGGGUUGUAAAGCUCUUUCGGUAGGGAAGAUAAUGACGGUACCUACAAAAGAAGCUCCGGCUAACUUCGUGCCAGCAGCCGCGGUAAUACGAAGGGAGCUAGCGUUACUCGGAAUUAUUGGGCGUAAAGCGUACGUAGGCGGCUUAGUAAGUUGGGAGUGAAAUCCUUGGGC